rnacentral:rRNA from 1 species
AACGAACGCUGGCGGCAUGCCUAACACAUGCAAGUCGAACGAGACCUUCGGGUCUAGUGGCGCACGGGUGCGUAACGCGUGGGAACCUGCCCUUAGGUUCGGAAUAACUCCCCGAAAGGGGUGCUAAUACCGGAUAAUGUCUUCGGACCAAAGAUUUAUCGCCUUUGGAUGGGCCCGCGUUGGAUUAGCUAGUUGGUAGGGUAAAAGCCUACCAAGGCGACGAUCCAUAGCUGGUCUGAGAGGAUGAUCAGCCACACUGGGACUGAGACACGGCCCAGACUCCUACGGGAGGCAGCAGUGGGGAAUAUUGGACAAUGGGCGGAAGCCUGAUCCAGCAAUGCCGCGUGAGUGAUGAAGGCCUUAGGGUUGUAAAGCUCUUUUACCCGGGAUGAUAUUGACAGUACCGGGAGAAUAAGCUCCGGCUAACUCCGUG